CGAAGUUUUUCGGAACUUAGUGGCGGACGGGUGAGUAACGCGUGAGAAUCUGCCUUAAGGAUUGGGACAACAGUGGGAAACCGCUGCUAAUACCAAAUAUGCCUUUUAGUGAAACGGGUAAAACCGCCUUAAGAUGAGCUCGCGUCUGAUUAGCUAGUUGGUGUGGUAAGAGCGCACCAAGGCAACGAUCAGUAGCUGGUCUGAGAGGACGACCAGCCACACUGGGACUGAGACACGGCCCAGACUCCUACGGGAGGCAGCAGUGAGGAAUUUUCCGCAAUGGGCGAAAGCCUGACGGAGCAAUACCGCGUGAGGGAGGAAGGUUCUUGGAUUGUAAACCUCUUUUCUCAGAGAAGAAUAAUGACGGUAUCUGAGGAAUAAGCAUCGGCUAACUCCGUGCCAGCAGCCGCGGUAAUACGGAGGAUGCAAGCGUUAUCCGGAAUGAUUGGGCGUAAAGGGUCUGUAGGUGGUUGUUCAAGUCUGCUGUUAAAGCGUCUGGCUUAACCAGAUAAAGGCGGUGGAAACUGAACGACUAGAGUGCGGUAGGGGUAGAGGGAAUUCCCAGUGUAGCGGUGAAAUGCGUAGAUCUUGGGAAGAACACCUGUGGCGAAAGCGCUCUACUAGACCGCGACUGACACUGAUGGACGAAAGCUAGGGGAGCGAAUGGGAUUAGAUACCCCAGUAGUCCUAGC
rnacentral:rRNA from 1 species